AUGAAGGUAGUUGCAAGGAAGAGGGACCUCCACAUAGCAUGCAACAAUACAGUGGCGUUGCGGAAAAUCCCUGCAUUUGGCACUGGGCCAGAUAGGUUGUUGAAAGAGAGGUUUAGAUACAUUAGAAGCUCGAAGCCCUCGAGGAACUCAGGUAUGGGCCCUCCUAAGUUGUUGCUAGAAAGAUCCAACUUUUCAAGGCCUCUUAAAGAAGACAAAACUUUUGAAAUUUGCCCUUGCAGAAGAUUUCCUUGCAAGUAUAGGGAGUUCAGUAGGACGCAACUGCUGAGAGCUUCUGGAAUUUCACCAGAUAGCUCGUUCAUGGAAAGGUCAAUUGUGCCUAGGCUGUUCAGUUGCCCUAUCCGUGUUGGAAUGGAGCCACUCAGAGAAUUGUGGGAGAGGUUGAGAAGUUUGGUCAGGGAGGGGAUGCUAAGUACCUCCGGUGGGAUUUCCCCCCUCAAGGAGUUACCAGAAAGAUCCAGAGAUGUCAAGUUCCUGGAGGCUAGGAAUCAGGCCAAUAUCCAGAGGCAAGGUGCCUGUGAAGAGGCUUUGCUUCAGGGAGAGCGUUGCAAGUUUUUGAAACUUGCUUAA
rnacentral:rRNA from 1 species